rnacentral:rRNA from 1 species
UACAGAGGUCCCGAGCGUUGUUCGGAUUCACUGGGCGUAAAGGGUGCGUAGGUGGUUAGGUAAGUCCGAUGUGAAAUCUCCAGGCUCAACCUGGAAAUGGCAUUGGAUACUAUUUAGCUUGAGGAGUGGAGGGGGGACUGGAAUUCUCGGUGUAGCAGUGAAAUGCGUAGAUAUCGAGAGGAACACCAGUGGCGAAGGCGGCCUCCUGGGCUAAUACUGACACUGAGGUGCGAAAGCGUGGGGAGCAAACAGG